GUAGCACGGCUGAAACCACUGCAGAGGAAACGUUGUUUGGCUACUGAGAAAUAGUUUAGCUGGAGAGAGAAAGAAUACGCCUGCGGCUGUUUCUUGCUCCAUGGAAGUAAGCAAAAGGAGUUAAUUGAAUUAAAUCCUGAAUCUGGGUCGGUAGGAGUAAGGCAGACUUAAAUAUGAAGCCUAAACUGCGUUCGAGCUUGGGCAGACACUAGGAAAGUCUUGGAGUGCAAAUCUAUUUAGGCUGCCUGGAGACUGACAAGGCACACGAGAGGAAGCACUGCAGUCUGCCAGGAGAAGAGGACAUUUGG